ensembl:lncRNA
UAGAAGUGAAAGUUACAGUCCUGGGAAUUGUUAUUUUCCUUCGUUGUUUUUGAGAGGGAGAUAUAAAGAAGGGUGUCACCAGAGACUGUAACUCAUCUUUAUGGAACCUUCAUCCUUGUAUUCUUUUUCCUGAAAACAUUAUCCUUCUUUUUUGGCUCAAAGGCUACAUUGCUUUACAGUUUUUGAUGCCAGCUGGAGCAGAUAUUCAUUCCAAAACAUCUGACAACUAUGCUUUACUGUCAGAAUAUAUUAUUCAGAAGUUGAAACAGGUCUGUUCAAUGUGGAUUAAAGCAGAGACAUCCCAGGUAGUUGGAGAAGGGUUCUUCACCCACCACUGCACAUCUCCGUGGCAGGUGCACUCAGCUCUCCUCGUGCUCAGAGCAGUGACAGAACUGCCCUGGGGAGGCCAUUCACCACACUUUGGAUGAUGAGAGACCACCAAAAAUGCCCAUGGCUUUUGAAGGGAUCCACAUUAUUUUACAGGUGUACUCUGAUGUCAGUGGAUGAAAAGGUCCCAUAUGUGUAAUGAAAACGGACAGCAAACUUCAUCCAUCAAAUCUUCUGGAAGCUUUAAAGCA